AAAGCCUCUACCGCUUGAGGCUUGGUGGGAACAGGCUCAGUGGGAACAUCUCAGACUCAAUUUGUGAUGGCAUGGGCUUGACUUAUCUUGAGUUGGAUAACAAUCAGUUGACCGGAAAUAUACCGUCAGAGCUUGGUAACUGCAAGAACCUGUCCUUGUUGAGUCUGGCAUCAAAUAAGCUACAGGGUCAAGUGCCUCCUGCUAUCAGUAGCCUUGACAAGCUGGUAGUUCUGAAGCUUCAAAACAACUCUCUCAACGGACCUAUCCCAUAUGCAUUUUCUGAUUUAAAGAGCCUGAGCAUAUUGAAUCUUAGUCAGAAUUUACUCACGGGCGAGAUACCAAGCGGAAUUUUCGAGUUGCAAAAGCUUUCCAUCUUGGAUUUGCAUGACAACAGUAUCAGUGGUGCCAUUCCAAUUUCAGUCAGUUUAUCAAAGGCUCUAAUUGAGCUCAUUCUGGGGAAUAAUGCUCUGGCUGGUACCAUCCCAACAAUGCCAACCACACUAACCACGUCUCUUAAUCUUAGUCAGAACAAUCUCAGCGGAUCUAUUCCUUCAGAUAUUGGCUACUUAAGUGAAUUAGAGAUACUUGAUCUUUCAUACAACAGUCUGUCUGGUGAGAUGCCAUCUUCACUAGGGAACAUGCAAAGUUUGACACUGCUGGUGCUUUCUUAUAAUGAUCUUUCUGGGUCUGUUCCUAGCUUCCGCCAAAAUAUGUAUAUUCAUAUUGAAGGAAAUCCUGAUCUUGUAAAUGGUAGAGGAGACAAGAAUGGCAUCCAUACUACUAGUACGAGAAAAAGGCACACUGUUGUCAUCAUCAUCUUCAUUAUUGCUGGUGCUCUUGUUGGAUUAUGCUUGCUUGCUGUCAGUGUUACGAUGUCGUUAUCAGCUGGGGAGAGUGUUUCUCAAAUCAUCAAUGGUGGCCCAGUUAUGAACAACAACCAAACCUCUGCAACUGCAACUGAGUUCAUGAAAGCAAGGCCGGAUAACUGGCAGGUCACACGUUUCCAAGCUCUGAACUUCGAGGAUGCAGACAUACACCAGGGGCUAAUUGAGAAGAACCUCAUUGGCAGCGGCGGAUCAGGGCACGUGUACCGUGUCAUGUACAUCAACCGGUGCAACGGCAGCACUGGGGUGGUCGCUGUGAAGCUGAUACGGAAUACUGGGAGCCUGGACGAGAAGCUGGAGCGUGAAUUCGAGUCUGAGGUGAGCAGCCUUGGUAACGUCAGGCACAAUAACAUCGUCAGGCUGCUGUGCUGCAUCUCUGGUGAUGAGUCAAAGCUCCUCGUGUACGAUUACAUGGACAACGGCAGCCUGGACAAUUGGCUCCAUGGCAACACCCUCUGCACAGGGCACUCCAUGGUGAGGCCGCAGUCUGUGCAGCGCGUACCGUUGGACUGGCCGACGAGGCUUAUAGUGGCUGUUGGUGCCGCACAGGGACUGUGCUACAUGCAUCACGACUGUUCACCACCUAUCAUUCACCGGGACAUCAAGACGAGCAAUAUCUUACUGGACUCCGAGUUCCAGGCUAAGGUUGCGGACUUCGGGCUGGCCAGGAUGCUGGUGCGGGCAGGGGAGCCCAACACGAUGUCUGCAGUGGCCGGAUCGUUUGGCUACAUGGCUCCCGGUAAGGUCAACUCUUUUGUUAUUUCGGCAGAUUUCACUCAUUUUGCCAGAUUCUGUACAGUAACUAGGGUAGUAGCUACUGUAAAUAUCAUAGGUCAUAAUAUGCCAGACCUUAUUAUAUUACAAUUUUUCAUGUUUAUCUGCAGAGUAUGCUUACACGAGGAAGGUGAAUGAGAAGGUGGAUGUCUACAGCUUUGGAGUCGUGCUCUUGGAGCUCACAACCGGCAAGAAGGCCAACGAUGGCGGCGAGCUUGGUUGCCUGGCCGAAUGGGCUCGGCACCACUACCAAUCAGGGGCGGCCAUCCUCGAUGUUAUAGACAAAAGCAUCAGGUAUGCAGGAUACCCUAACGAGAUUGAGACUGUGUUCAGCCUAGGCGUGCAAUGCACCUCAACCUUUCCAUUGACACGGCCGACUAUGAAGAAUGUGCUGCGGAUUUUGCUCAAGUGCUGCGAUCAGACGCUCCGGAAAAGCAGAAUGGAGUUUAGCAUGGAGUACGAAGCAGCUCCAUUCUUGAUGCCAUAGCGGAGCAGCUGUCAGGAACAGAUGUCCAACGGCAAAGGAAAGAAGUAUUAUUGAAAACUGAAGAGAAGAGUGACUUCAAUUGCAGUGCUGAACUCUUAGGAUAAAACUUGACACUGCACACAGGACAUAUUUUGUUUUCAGAACAUGCUAGGACAUAUUUAUUUUUAAGUGGAGUUGCAGUAGUAGCCAUGUGUGAGUAGUUUCUAGUCGUUUUUGUAUCCUCUGUUUUUUUUUCUAUGGCAAAUCUCUUUGACGUCUUAAGAUAUGCUCCCACCAUUCCAAAUUACUGUUCGUGUUCGUUUUGGUUUUUUUAAUUGCAUAUCUUUUACUAUGCGUAUAUGCGUAUAGUUAUGUAUAUAGAAAAGUCAAAACGAAUAGUAAUUUGGGACGGAGGGAGUAGAUACAGACACGCUCACUCGAUAAUCAACAGUUAUAAUCGGGGGAAUUGUGACCUGAGAAUGAAUUACUGGUGGUUUAGUUUGAAUUUCAAGUACAAUUCGGCCCAUUACCAUAUGAAACAAGUCUUUGCCUCGGAAAACCAUCCAGACCCCUCCAAUUUAAACAAAGCAUACACCGUACAUGUUUAUCACAAAUCACAAUCGACAUGACGUUGUUUGCCUUUUUUUCCCCGAGAAGCCUAUCAUACUAGAUCAUUCUCAAUGCAAGUUCUACGAGUGUUUCAAUCUGUGUUUCAAUCUCAUUAAAUGACGUGUUACGUAGGUCUAAAUGGUGAUAUGGUAUAAAAUUUAUGAAGAAAGAGAGAAAUUGGGUUUCAUAGGGAUGAAACCCUGUGUACACGGUUACCUAGACUUUGAAACUACGAUGAAACUCCAUUGAGAAAAUUUAUUUCAUCUUCGUAAUUUUUGUCGAUCCUAUGUGGCCAUGGUUAGUAUGCCACUACUUAAUUUAGGUACAAGUGGUUGCAUAUUUAUAUGGCAUAUUUGAUCUCAACACCAUACAACAAUUAAAUACUAUGAGUAGCUUAUGAAAUUGUGAUAUGAAAUUGUGUAUUGUGAGGGGUUGUUUCAUUCAUCAACUUAAAUCUUUGAAGAUGAUGUGGCACUUUUAGAAACCGUGUAAUGAAACUCUCCACUGAGAAUACUCUUAAAUCCUCGCUGGGAGAUUAGUGAUGACUCUGUCUCGAGACUCUAACCAAACUAUUUUACACCCUUUUCUAUUAGGCUUUCGGCACUGUGCAUUGCACCUGGAGAAGCUUGAAUCAGAGUGAGGCACACUCAACACCCCUGAAUAAUCUAGACUCUAUAGUAGCCUUUUGCCUAACUGCUUGCUUGCUGGUCUAAUCCGUGUGACAGUUUCACAUCGAGACCCAAAACUCCAAGGAUCAUCCUUGACAGGGUAGAGCCUACAGUUUCACGUACAAAAAGGUAGCCUUUCCUCCGGCUCCUCUCCGUAAAACACGGCUUGUCUCCCCCUGAUGCGAAAGCAAAGGCCAUUUGAAGCUUUAGCUUUCGUCUUUCCUGUUGAUUACUCCUUCCCAGCUGGUACGGCCAUCUUGCUACUUUUUUUUUCGAGGCAUUGUCAGUCGCGAUAUGGUACCGAACACAGAUCCAAAGCUUGCUUUCAAUAGCAUUCCCUAGUGCUCUCUAUUUUACUCUGAAUAAACUGAAUGCAAAUAUUUUAUUUUUCGUUUGCUCAGGGGGGAAAACUUCCAAAAUUGUUGUCAGGUCUUUACUUGCAACAUCCUUUGGACUGGCCUGUGAUACCUGUUGGACCUGGUCGCAGCAGGAGGUCCCAUGCAUCAUCUAUCGUCAGAGAAGAAGCUGCACUGCAGAAACCGGAACCAUGGCACGUUUUAGAUUUUAGGUGUUGUGGAGAAUCCUGACGAAACGAUUCCGUGGAAAACGCCAUAUGGCCGUGUGUGAGAGAACGGUGAAGUCUCCGUUCAACGUCUCCUCGUCAAGUGUGUGGACUGAGUGAGCUCCUUUUCCCUGCUAGAAUAUUUUUCAGGUAAACCAAAGCCACUCCAAACCUAGGUCUCGGUCAAGCUUCUUUGGCAUUUCCAACGCGUCGCCAUUUUCCUUGGGUUGGUCCACGGUUUGCUUUUCCAAUUCUUGCGUUUGCGUCAGCAGUCCCGUUCACGUUUCAUACCUGGAUCCAGUGAUCACACAGUUUGAGCUACAACUAGUCCUUUUCAGAAUUAUAAGAGGCUCCCGGUUGUAGCUGAGCCAGAGCACCAGCUUCUUUGACCCGGCAUAGCUAAAGCUACUUUAUUUUAAGCGAAACUUCAAAACCGUCCACCUUUUCGAUAAAAUUUGUUCCUAGGGGACGACGGGAUACUAUGGGCUAAACUUUAGGCCUGUCAUGUCGGAUGUUCGGAUGCUAAUUAGCAGGACUAAAUAUGAACUUCUGCUAUUAGUUUUGUAAUUAGCCUAUAAUUAAUACUCCUAAUUAGUGUCAAACCUCCGAUAUGACAGGAGCUUAGUCCCUGUCUCCAAACACCCCUUAAUCUUAAUGCGCCCGAUAUGGAUAACUCAGCACAAACUUGUACUCCGUUCACUCAUAAUUAGCAAAGAUACUAAGGGCCUGUUUGUUUCCACCCUCCUAAAACCUUAGCUCCUAAAAAGUGACUAAAAUCUUUUAGGAGCCUCAAAAAUUUUAGUCCCCCCACCCCCUCCUAAAGCCUCCUAAAAUCAGAUCUGGACCCCCACUACCCCUCAUUUAUUACCCUUUCUCUCCUGCCCAACUCCCGCCCGCCGCCGCCGCCGCCCAGCACCCUCAACACACCCACGCACACAGGCACGAGCCGGCAACGCAUGGCCGGCCGUGGCCUUGGCCGGCGGCGGGGAAUGGCAAGGCGCGGUCGGUGACGGGCGCAGGAGCACCGGGGCUUCACCACGAUCCCGUUUUGGCUGCUUGUUGGGGACAAGGAGGCCGGGGAGGUGGUGUUCGGCGGCGGCGCCCGAGCUUGGGCCGGCGGUAAUGGCGGCCGCGGGGUCUGACAUCCCCGGCGCGCGGUAAUGGCGGCCGCGGGGUCUGACAUCCCUGGCGCCAGGAGCUACGGCGGCGGACAAGGAGUGGUUGAGGGGGAAGAGGAGGGGGUCAGGAAGCCGUGGGAGGCGGCGAUUUGAAGAUGGUGGAGCGGAGGCUGGGGAUUUGGCCGGCGGACGGGCUCUGCUCAGCUCGGUGUUUCCUCAGUUGGAGGAGGAAGAAGAGAUGAGUGAGUGAGAGAGAGAGGAACAGGGGUAGCGGGUUGGUCGGGAUUCGAGGGGAGGGGGCGGCGCCAGCGGGAGGAGGGGAGGGGCGGUCCGGGGCCGGCGGCGGGAUGGCCAGCGCCGACGGAGGGGCGGUCCGGGGCUAGUGGCGGGCGGGCCAAGCGCCAACAGUAGGGGCAUGCAGGUCCCUGCAUGGGGGAAGGAUAUCUUGGGUAUUUUACCACUUUAUUAUUGCCUUUAGUCACUUUUAGGAGGUGGAACCAAACAUACUUUUAGGAGGUGUCUAAAAACUGCCUAAAAUCUUUUAGAAGCUAAAAACUUUAGGAAACAAACAGCCCCUAAAUCACAAUUCAUACCACACUCUAGUCUACGGAGUAGACGGCGGUGUACGUCAGUCAGUCAGUCAACGCUGGACCCAACCCGAACCCAAGAGAAGGGGCACCAGAAAAACAUCAAGAAAAAUUAUAAGAAAUCACGGCCUCUGCCCCGCUCUCUCCCCAGUCUCCUCUCAAUCGCCCUGAAGAACAUAACCCAAGAAGGUCAUGGCGGAGCACACCCGGAACCCCAGAACCUAGAGAGAGGGGGGAAAGAUCUCGUCAUUUUUUUAGUUUUUUACUUCCUGCUGCUCCGGCCGGUGAAGUUCAGCGGGAGUGAAGGGGAGAGGAAGAGGCGAAGCGAUCAGAGAAGUGGAAGGCAAGAAGGUUCAAUCAGAUGGCUAUGGUGGGGAUGAGGAGGUAUUGUCUCUGCGCCAGCCAUGGUUUCUUCGUGCUAGUGUUUCUCCCGUUCUUGUUCUUGUUUCACCAUGCGCCCGUGGCCGCCGGCGCCGAUGCGCCGUCUUCGCAACCAUCACUGAACAAGACGCAGGAAGCCAUCAUGAAGGAUCUCUUGAGGAUCGUUGGUAGCAGCAGUUGGUCGAACACCACCACCUCGAAUCCUUGUAAGUGGAGCGGAGUCAACUGCACGCGCUCCGGUUCCUCUUGGGUGGUGACCAACAUAACCUUGCCCAACUGUGGAAUAUCAAACUCUUCCAUCUUCGCUUCCAUUUGCCGUCUUGAGAGCUUGCUGGCCCUUGACCUCUCCAGAAAUUCCUUGACAAAUUUGACCACCCAAUUCUUCUCCCCUUCUUGUUCGAUGAAGGAAGGGUUGCGUCUCCUCAAUCUGAGCAGGAACAUGUUAUCUCACCCGCUCAGUAAUUUCUCAGCUUUCCCACAACUGGAGGUUCUUGAUUUGUCCUUCAAUUCUUUUACUAGUGAAAAUUUGAGUGCGGACUUGGGUUCUUUUCUCAAAUUGAGGAGCUUGAACGUUAGUGCCAAUAAGUUGAGUGGCAAAGUUCCUACUUCUAUGGUCAGCUCUUUGUUGGAGUUGGUAUUGUCUGGUAAUCAGUUGAGUGGUUCAAUUCCUCUAGAUUUGUUUAAAUAUGAAAAUCUUACUCUGCUGGAUCUCAGCCAGAAUGUUCUAACUGGCGUUGUCUCAGAUAAGUUCAUGGAUCUCUCCAAGCUUGAGACUUUGCUCCUUUCAGGCAAUAAACUGAUUGGGGAAAUACCACCGAGUCUGUCGAAUGUAACGACGCUGUCUCGGUUUGCGGCUAACCAGAACAACUUCACUGGUCCAAUUCCCAGCAAUAUUACCAAACAUGUAAGGAUGUUGGAUCUGAGUUACAACAAUCUGGAUGGGAUGAUUCCCUUGGAUUUUCUCUCCCAUCCAGGGUUGCAGAGUGUUGAUCUUACCACAAACAUGCUUGAAGGGUCUAUUCCCCGCAACUUCUCUCAAAGCCUCUACCGCUUGAGGCUUGGUGGGAACAGGCUCAGUGGGAACAUCUCAGACUCAAUUUGUGAUGGCAUGGGCUUGACUUAUCUUGAGUUGGAUAACAAUCAGUUGACCGGAAAUAUACCGUCAGAGCUUGGUAACUGCAAGAACCUGUCCUUGUUGAGUCUGGCAUCAAAUAAGCUACAGGGUCAAGUGCCUCCUGCUAUCAGUAGCCUUGACAAGCUGGUAGUUCUGAAGCUUCAAAACAACUCUCUCAACGGACCUAUCCCAUAUGCAUUUUCUGAUUUAAAGAGCCUGAGCAUAUUGAAUCUUAGUCAGAAUUUACUCACGGGCGAGAUACCAAGCGGAAUUUUCGAGUUGCAAAAGCUUUCCAUCUUGGAUUUGCAUGACAACAGUAUCAGUGGUGCCAU
rnacentral:lncRNA from 1 species